rnacentral:sRNA from 1 species
GGAAAUCAGUCCAGUUCCCCUGUGUGGUCCCGUGGAACAGUGUCUCAGCUGGAACUGUCGGGGUAGAGCUUGGUCGGAGUGCAAAAGGGACAGACGCAUCAGGGGUCCAGCUCAAGGCUCCUGACAGAGGUGCCAAGCUCUCCUGAUGAAAUGUGUUCUGCCCCACUGGGCUCCAGGGACAGUGUCUGGUGCUGUUGAAGCCCUUAUUCGAACUUUCCAGAAUGGAUAGUCCCCCAAAGCUGACUGGAGAGACCCUCAUCGUUCAUCACAUCCCCUUGGUGCACUGCCAAGUCCCAGACAGGCAGUGCUGUGGAGGGGCAGGUGGAGGUAGUGGGAGCACAAGACCUAAUCCCUUCUGCCCACCUGAGCUGGGCAUCACCCAGCCCGAUCAAGACCUAGGACAAGCUGACUCCCUGCUAUUCAGCAGUCUGCACUCUGCUCCAGGAGGAACUGCACGGUCUAUAGACAGCACCAAGAGUAGGAGUCGGGAUGGAAGAGGCCCUGGAGCCCCCAAACGACACAACCCCUUCUUGCUGCAGGAGGGUGUGGGUGAGCCAGGACUUGGUGACCUGUAUGAUGACAGCAUUGGUGACAGUGCCACCCAGCAGUCCUUCCACCUGCAUGGCACUGGCCAGCCCAACUUUCAUCUAUCCUCUUUCCAGCUGCCACCAUCUGGCCCCAGAGUGGGCAGGCCAUGGGGGACAACACGCAGUCGGGCUGGAGUGGUGGAAGGACAGGAACAGGGGCCAGUGAUGACCUUGGAUACUCAGCAGUGCGGCACCAGCCACUGCUGCCGGCCAGAGCUGGAAGCAGAGACUAUGGAGCUGGAUGAGUGUGGGGGACCUGGUGGGAGUGGCAGUGGGGGUGGAGCCAGCGAUACCUCUGGCUUUUCCUUUGACCAGGAAUGGAAGCUCAGUUCAGAUGAAUCCCCAAGGA